GACGAACGCUGGCGGCGUGCUUAACACAUGCAAGUCGAACGGAAAGGCCCUGCUUUUGUGGGGUGCUCGAGUGGCGAACGGGUGAGUAACACGUGAGUAACCUGCCCUUGACUUUGGGAUAACUUCAGGAAACUGGGGCUAAUACCGGAUAGGAGCUCCUGCUGCAUGGUGGGGGUUGGAAAGUUUCGGCGGUUGGGGAUGGACUCGCGGCUUAUCAGCUUGUUGGUGGGGUAGUGGCUUACCAAGGCUUUGACGGGUAGCCGGCCUGAGAGGGUGACCGGGCACAUUGGGACUGAGAUACGGCCCAGACUCAUACGGGAGGCAGCAGUGGGGAAUAUUGCACAAUGGGCGGAAGCCUGAUGCAGCAACGCCGCGUGCGGGAUGACGGCCUUCGGGUUGUAAACCGCUUUCGCCUGUGACGAAGCGUGAGUGAGGGUAAUGGGGAAAGAAGCACCGGCUACCUACGG
rnacentral:rRNA from 1 species